rnacentral:tRNA from 1 species
GGGCGGGUGGCGGAAUUGGUAGACGCGUCGGACUUAAAAUCCGAUGAGACUUAUACUCUCGUGAGGGUUCGAUUCCCUCUCCGCCCACCA